GUUCUCGUUUUUAUACAGACAGAAAAAAACAGCCAACAGGUCACACCCUCCUCCGAAUGAAUAAUGUAAAUGGAGAGCCCCGAUAUGAGGGACCGCUAUAUCCAGUCUCGGGUGGAGAUAAGAUGACAAACUGCACCAAGGACAGUUCUCAUGUGGUGACUGCUCCCAAAACUCCGGGUUUGGGAAUUUGAGGGUUCUGCUCCACUGGUCCGAUCUCCUGCUGGCAUUAAUCCUAUUUGCCAGUCCCAAGCCUGGAUGAGAAAGGAAGAGGGUUGGGCGUGGGGCUAGCAACCCGACCCUGUAAAACCCCAACUGCUACAGAAUCAGCAAACGAAUCUCAGUAUCAACUGAACCAGGGCGAAGAUGAUCGGCAACCCUUGAUGACAGUGGUGGAGAAAAGCUCUCGGGUCGUCCAUUGCCUAAUGUGUCGAUCAAUUCUCGAUCCAAAAGAAACUACUCAUUAUGGAAUAUGGAAUGUACGGACUCUGUACCAAAUGGGUAAAGUGGGCCAGCUUCUACAUAAAUUUGACUCAAACCAGAUGGACAUCUUGGGCAUCUCUGAAAUGCGGUGGACAUGAAAUGAGAAGAUGGUAAGCAAUGGAAAGACGGUGCUCUACCCUGGCCAUCCCCCGAGACCAUGUGCGCUUUGUGGGCUUUGUUCUCUAGUGAUGUGCAACAACGUUGUUGCUGGGCUGGAAGACCAUCUCAGACCACCUAAUCUUGGCUCGUUUCCAAGCUGGGCAUGUGAAAGUCACAGUUCUUCAAGUAUAUACUCCAACAGAAGAGCAAAUAUGGCAGCGGAAUUUCAACUCGAAUUGAGAAACCACUUCCAGCUCCUCACCAAGGAAGGAAAGGAAGGAAACAACAAAAAUUCAGCUACCCUCUGGGAUGAGCUAAAGGAGGCUGUUGUCGGUGCCGCAGAAUCGAAGAUUGGUCGCCAACAAGGUGGGACCUUAUCGAUCGGGGUCUUUUGGCAAAGUCGCUUCAGGACCAGGUGGCCUCCAAUCCGCAUACUCCUGCAGUGUGAGAGGGCCAUGGCUGGCACAGGUCAAACGCAGCUGCCGGCAUGACAAGUGGAUGAAAACUAAAGGCAUGGAAGACCAAGAAGCAGCCGAUUGGAACAAUACCCAAACCUUAUAUCGCAUUGUACGAGAUCUAACAGGGGCUCAUGGUGGCCGCGGCGUCCCAAUUCAAGACAAAAAUGGAUGAGUCCUCCUUACUACAGCUGAGCAAGACCAACGCUGGGCCGAAUACUCUGAACCAACCAACCUGUUCGAGGCCGAAGACCUGGCACCCUCCAUUGACCUUCUCCCUGUCGAUAUCAGACAAAUCAGCAUUGCCGAAGUAAAAACAGCGAUCCGACUCCUCAGGAGUGGAAAGGCAGCUGGCCUGGAUGAGACCCUCCCUGAAAUGCUGAAGCCCAGUUGGAAGCCGCCCUUACAAGACUCCUAAACACGUUGUUUAACAUCGCGUGUACCCGAUGAUUGGACAAAAGGCAUCAUUAUCAAACUUCCAAAGACAGGCGAUUUGUGAGACUGUAACAACUGGCAGGGCAUUACGCUGCUGUCGGUACCUGGAAAAGUGCUUAGCCUCGUUCUUUUGAAUCAGCUACGACACGCAGUGGACGAAUGAUUGCGAGAAGAGCAGGUUGGCUUUUGGAGUGGCCGGUCAUGCGUUGAGCAAAUCCUCACCCUCCGCAUGAUCGUUGAACAAACAUUGGAAUACCAAAGGAAAAUUUCUAUUAAUUUCAUUGACUUCAAGAAGGCUUUUGACAGCGUCCACCGGCCAACUCUGUGGGCUAUCCUACGUCACUAUGGAGUCCCCCUGCACUUUGUAGACGUCUUUUGUGGUCUCUACUCCAACUCCCGCUGCUGCGUCCGUAUGGAUGGCGGCUGCACGGAUUUCUUCGAGCUCAAUACUGGUGUCCAACAGGGAUGCGUGCUAUCCCCUUUCCUUUUCCUGUUGGUAAUUGACUUCAUCAUGCGACAAUCAAUUGACCAAGAUGGCAUCGGUGUCCCCUGACAUAAAGCGCAUAAUCUCACCGACUUGGACUUCGCGGACGACAUCGCCCUGCUGUGCAAAAAAUGCUCACUUCCGCUGGUUGUCAGUGAGUGUGAUUCCCUGCGCUGAAACUUUGAAAUGUACGACAGUGGAGGGAGGUGGCGGAUCCAUGGAGAGCGUGAC